UCUUUGGUAGUAUAGUGGUUAGUAUACCCGCCUGUCAUGAUUAUGUCCUUGUUACAGUUCUGUUCGCGGGUGACCGGGGUUCAAUUCCCCGCCAGAGAG